rnacentral:rRNA from 1 species
AAUUAGUAAAACUUUCAACAACGGAUCUCUUGGCUCUGGCAUCGAUGAAGAACGCAGCGAAAUGCGAUAAGUAAUGUGAAUUGCAGAAUUUAGUGAAUCAUCGAAUCUUUGAACGCACAUUGCGCCCCCCGGCAUUCCGAGGGGCAUGCCUGUUCGAGCGUCAG